rnacentral:rRNA from 1 species
UACGGAGGAUCCAAGCGUUAUCCGGAAUCAUUGGGUUUAAAGGGUCCGUAGGCGGUUUGGUAAGUCAGUGGUGAAAGCCCAUCGCUUAACGAUGGAACGGCCAUUGAUACUGCCAGACUUGAAUUACUAGGAAGUAACUAGAAUAUGUAGUGUAGCGGUGAAAUGCUUAGAUAUUACAUGGAAUACCAAUUGCGAAGGCAGGUUGCUACUAGUGGAUUGACGCUGAUGGACGAAAGCGUGGGGAGCGAACAGGAUUAGAUACCCUGGUAGUCCACGCCGUAAACGAUGGAUACUAGCUGUUCGGAGCAAUCUGAGUGGCUAAGCGAAAGUGAUAAGUAUCCCACCUGGGGAGUACGUUCGCAAGAAUG